rnacentral:rRNA from 1 species
GACAGAGGUGCCGAGCGUUAGGCGGAAUCACUGGGCUUAAAGCGUGUGUAGGCGGGUCGGUAAGUGGCUUGUGAAAUCCCACCGCUCAACGGUGGAACUGCUGGGCAUACUGGCGAUCUUGAGCCACCUAGGGGCGAGCGGAACAAGCGGUGGAGCGGUGAAAUGCGUAGAUAUCGCUUGGAACGCCGACGGUGAAAACAGCUCGCUGGGGGUGUGCUGACGCUGAGACACGAAAGCCAGGGGAGCGAACGGG